rnacentral:sRNA from 1 species
UUGCUUUGAUGAAAACGGUAAUCUUCUUUCCCAGUCCGAUUCGACCAUGACGAUCAGGGUUUCUACCACGUCCAUCUUUCUCUGACUUGAC